rfam:Tupaia chinensis contig173123, whole genome shotgun sequence.
CCAAAGGCUCUUCAGAGCCAUCUACAUUUUCACGUAAGAAAGCU